UUAAAAAGGGAAACUAAAACGUCCUAAACAAUACUAAUUAGCAAACAAACCGUAAUUGUAAUUUAACCUUCUCCUGAACUCAUUUUUCCUCUUUGCUCAGAUAAAGACUAGUGUGGGAAUUGGCAACUCUUAGCCUAAAUCCUUAACAAACCUUACCCUCCAUCCUUACUGCUCAUCGAGAUUCUUCAGAGUUUCAAAUAACCCUACAAUCCUCCGGUCUCAGUGCACAACUACCUACCUGACAUCCUUUAGCCUCUACCACUAUCUUCAAUCAAUAAAUGGUCCAACUCUUAGGGGAUUUCUUCCACUAAGUCCUUUUGAAUAAAAUUAAUAUAUCAUAUAAUUACAUAAUAUUUAUUACUAUAUAAACUGGUAUAGUAUUUAAUAAGGUAGCUAGUAAAUUGGACAAAUUCUAUAUUUGACUUCUUAUAAAACAAAAGGGACCAAAAAUAAGAAAUGUCAAAUGAAAAAUCUUCCUCUUUUCAACCUUAAAAUAAAAUUUCCAUACGCCAAUACAAAAAGCAAUAUAGUAAUGAUUUUAUCUUUGGCCACCUUGCAUGCAUUUUCCGCCCACGGAUAGAUACUCUUUUUGUUCAUAUUGUAGAUGUAGUUGUAUCCCAUUGAAUUAUCAUUUAUUCUACAUUUAAUGUAUCGUGGGGUAUAUAUCGUUUUCAGGAUAAAUAACCAAGAAUAGGUGGAUUUUGGAGGAAAAUAAAAAACAUAUUUUCUUUAAUAACUUGAUAUAUUAGUAUUUUUUGUGAGAUGAUUAGGUGUUAGUAUUCCUCUCCUAUGACUAAAGGAUUAAACUAUUAACAUUAUCUAAUUAAAAGAGCUGAUGUGUCAAGUUAUUAAAGAAAACACGUUCUCAAAAACGUCAGUAGAAAACGCUUCCUGCUGGACGUGUUUUUUAUUUCUCUCUCUAAAAUCAGCAUAAAUUCUUAAUUACUUUUUUAAAAACGACAUUUUCUUCAAAUUUACCUCGAUUUUCAGGUAAUACCAGUAAAUAACAACACAAUACUUUAUUAUUAGAUAAAAUAGGGGCAAUGUAAGAAUUUUUUAUAAGGAUCGAAAUUAAUUAAGUUAUAUAUUUUGAUGAAAGCUAAAAUGCAAUUUCACUCAUAUAUUGGUUUAUAUUUUGAUAGUUUUCAAAUGGACUAAAUUGAAAUUCUAGCAUUUUGAGAGAUCAAACUACAAUUUUUUCUUAUAUUAACUUAAAAUUCUUAUACAUUUGAGGAACUAAAGCAACAAAUUUCCAUGUUGAGGUGUCAAGUCUCUACUUGCCCCUUCCUUCGCGCCUGGGUAAAAUAAAAAUAGUACAUGAUUAAUAAAUAGUAAUAACUUUAUUCAAACAUAAUUAAAUAUUAGUUAUAAUUAUUAUAUUUUUUUUCAAGCUUUUAAGUUUAAAAUAUUGAGUGAAGUGAUAAGAUAAAUUGCACCCUAAAAAAAGCAUAAAAAAUAUAUUAUUAGUAUUUAUUUAAAAAUUCUCUACUAUUUUUUUAUUAACGAUGAUGUGUCAUAUUGUUAUUCAUUAAAAACAUGCGGAACUCAUAACAGUGCAUCAAAUAUAUAUAUUUAUUUAUUUUAUUUUAAUUUCCUUUCCCCACAUAUUAACUUAAAAAUAAAAAUGAGUCAAGUCAGACAAUGGAGGAGGGGGCUGGCCUCCCUAAGAUGAAUUUUUUUUUAUUUAGAUCUUUUUAAAAGUUAUAAAAUUUUAAAUUAAUAAAAAUAAAUAAAUAUAUAUCUAUUAAAAUGACAAAAUUAUAUUUAAUAAUAAAAAUAAUAAAAAAUUAAUUUAAUUCUCUCAAAAUUAUAAAUAUAUAGACUAUUAAAAUGACAAGAUUAUAUUUAAUUUCGAUUUCUCAAAAAAGAAAAUCUAAUUUCGCUGCCGAAGUCAGAUAUCAAAUAAUACCUGAGAAAGGGGACUAGAACUAAAAUGGGUCAAGUAAGCUUAUACGUGUGAAUCAUGGGUUAAUAAUCCGGUUUGUUAAUUUCCUUUUACAUUAAUUUUCAGUUCAUAUAUGGACAAGUCAAUGAUUUAAUAAAACUUCAAAGGAUUAUUUGUAUAAAAAAAACUUUAAAAGUUACAAAAGGGCGAUUAAACUAUUCGAAAGUUUUUAUUUAAAUUACUGAAUCAUUUAAAAAUUUUAUUUAAGUUAUUGGGUUGUUAAAUUUUUCUUAAAAAAAAGAGUCUAGCUAGCUAGCUCCAAAAGAAGGUUUAAUGAUUGAUACAGUGGAUUAGUUCCCAUUGACGAGAAGAUAAGCAUACUUUAAAUUCAAUUCGAUUUGACAGUCAAUAUCAGAGAUGAGAUUAGAAGUUGUUUGACGUUUUCAAAGUUGUUUUUUUUUUAAAUGAACUAUAAAAGAGAAAGGGAAAAAUAAUUUUCAAUUGGUGUAGACGAUGCGAAUAAAGAAGGUCAUACAAUAAUGGUUUUAACAAUUCUAUAACUUAAAUGAAAACUUUCAAAUAGUUUAGUAAUCAUUUUGUAAUUAUUUUAAAGUUAAAUGACUCAAACGUAAACUUAUUAAUAAUUUAGUGACUCUAAAAAUAGUUUAUCUUUUAAAAAAUACAAAUUAUAGAAAAUCAGAAAAAUUGAAGUUAAAGAAAUUGUUUAAAUAAUUAAUAAGUCACAAAGAAUAAAAGCUAUUCCAACUUUUCUUAAUAAUAUGCAAAUAAUAAUUAAUUUAUGAUAAAAAUUAAUCAAAUAAAAGUAUGAAAAGAAAAUAAAUGUAGAUUAAAAUAUUUUUAUAAAAUAAAAUAAUAAGAUAUAAUAAAUAAAAAUUUAAAUAAUGUUACCUCAAUUUUAGACAAAUCAAUAAUUAAUUUUGAAUUAAAAUUUUGAAGCAAGGUAAUAUAGUAUUUUUAUAGUAUUAAAAUAUAAUAUUUAAAUAAUUCAUAUUUUACAAUAUUUUUAUUAUUAAAAGUACAUUUUUAAUAUUUAUGUGUGGAAAAUAUUAAUUUUAAAAAAUAUAUAAUUAAAAUAUAAUAAUUUAUGCAUACAAUUAAAGUUAAACCUAUUUCAACAACAUUGACAUAAACCGUGAAGUACCAUAGGCUAGUGGAUCUUUUAUUGCAUGCGUGCCACGUGGUGGUGAUAAUGGGAAAUUUUACACGUGGGACACCAUCGGCUUAAUGAUAAGUGAAAUGUUGAAAUUAAAUUAAAUUAAAAUCAAAAUCCUGUAAAGAAUUCGCAAUUGCAGAGAAUAAUGCCCCCCACCAGCAAUCCCAGUAAGAUUUUCCAGUUCGUCAGCGUGACGCCACGUGUACGCAAAUGGGACAAUAAGUAUAUUAUAUAAGUUGAAUUUAGAUUUUAAAUUUAAGUACUAAAUUCAUACAAAAAUUUCAAGAAUUAAAUUAAAAACUUUAAACACUAAAGUGAACAUUAAAACAAAAUUAAAGGUCAAAUUAGGAUAAAAAAAUUAAAUAUUAAUACUAUUAUAUAUAAAUCCAUAUAUAAUAUAUCCAAAUUUAAAUAUUAAAGCCAUUUCCUUUUAGUUUCUCAAAGCAUCUAUUGGAACGAGUUCAGUAACUAAUUUUUACAUUUUGUAAGUUUAUUAAAUGGAUAAAUAUUGGGCACGAAUUUUAAAGUUGCUCCAUACCCAAAACGAGAAUCGAACUCUGAAUUACUAAUUAAGGUAAAAAAAACUCUCACCAUAUCACUUAACUCUCGUAAUUGACAAUAGCUAUUAUUAAUAUAAUACAUAUUAAUGCUUUAAAUAUUAAAUAGAUGAGUAAUGAGAAACAACCAAAAAUUCCUUCGACCCUAGUGUUUGGUUUGCUAUCAUCCACCUUUUAGAAAAACAAUCAUAAGAUAAACUAUCGCUAUUGUUGAACCAAAUUAACUCUAUUUUAUUUAAUUUAUACUGAGAUUUAAUUGCUUAUAAUAUAAAAAAUAGGCACACUAUUAAAUUUAGUCUUCACAUUUACAUUUAUAUUUUUUAUCGCUUCGAUUUUUGUUCUUUUUUAAGCUAAAUUUGAUCAUCAACCAUUUAGAAAAGAGUUGAAAUGAUAUCUUUUAAACAACAAUACUAACUAAAAUAUUAAAAUUUUAAACACAACUUGCAUGGCAAUUCACGUGCACUUUAUGCUAAAUUUUUUUAAUUCUUGUGAAAUUUCUAUAUAUUUUUAAUUUUAAUUUGAUUUUUUUAUAGAUUUUGAAUUAUUUGUUAGCGUGAUAUAUAAAACAAAUCAUGUUAUGUUAGCAUGAUGUGUACAUGGGCUGCCAUGCAACUUGUACUCCAACAACGUUAAAAAAAUGUUUUAGUCAUUAUUUCCGUUUAAAAAACAAUUUGACUCUUUUUUAAAAAGUUAAAAGCUAAAUUUAACUAAAAAAAAGAGAAUAAGGGCCAAAUUUACAAAAAAAUGUAAACAUUGAUAGUUAAAUUUAUUAUUAUGUCUAACAAAUAUUAUACAUAAAAAGAGUAAUCAUUUAUUUAUAUAUUUGAUUUUUAUUUUUUAUUAUACGUAAUAGGAUAUAUAUAUCACACUCUUAAAAUAAAACAAAUUGAAAUCUAUUUUUAUUCUAUUUAUAUUUAGUUUUUAAUUUUUUAUAAUAUAAAUAUAAAUUGUUUAAAAAACCUUAAAUUUUUUGGUAAAAAAAUAUUUUUUUUUUCAAAAUUUUUGAAAAUGGUUAAUUCAACCUAUUCGAACCAAUAAAAUUAAGUUAGACCCAAAUAUUUUUAGAGUGUUUGAUAAAUUUUAGAUGAUUUGGGUACAAAUGGAAGAUUGAGUAGUCAAACCCUCUAAUUGUAAUGUUUGGUGACUAGAGGUUUGCAAGAGCUUGUUGAAUUAAAACCUCUAAAACAAAAAAUGCAAUGAUGGACAACUUUUUUCACAACUGAUUGGGAAUGAGAUAUGUGGAAUAACAUAUCUAACCAUACUUACUAAAAUAUUACCCCCUUUGUCACAUGCUUUCAAACCUAAUAGGAGUGUCAAUGUAUCAAUAGCCUCCAUUCUCCCAUUUUCAAUUUCACCUCCAAAAUUCAAAGUAAAUCUCAAAAAAAAAAAAAAAACCCUCCACUGAGAUUCAUUUACAAUAUGAUUUUAUCCAUUAAAGUUAAUUCUUUCUAUGCAUUUGCAUUACAUAACUACAUCAGAUUAAGUAAAUUUUUUGACCCAACAUUUAGGGUCAUAGAUGCAUAUCUGGAUUUUAUUCCUCUCGAAGCAUUUUCGGAUGCCAAAUGCAUUUUCACUCAAGAAAUCGAGCGUAUGAGUAGUAAUGAAAUGACAAAAGUUUGUAAUGAGAUCACUACUAGUUUCGUGUUUCUUAAAUAUUUGUUUUUAUUUGUUUGGAUAUGUACUAUUUCUUAAAUAUUUAUGUACUCUUAAUAUAUUUUCAAUUUACUAAUAUAAAAUGAUUUCUUAUACAACUAUGUAUUAAUUGAAAUAUGCUACUUGACAAAUUUAUUCAGAACAUGACAUAAUUAUCAGUAAGAAUAUAGUUUACAAUUAUAUCGACAUACAAUUAAAAAUAGCUAUCAGCCAAUUGUUGAACGGGAACUUAAUAUUCUAUUCAAUUUCAAUUCAUUUCUUAAAAAUAAAUAAAUUAUAAAUUAGUCAAAAAAAAAUUCUUAUCAUCCUAACAUAUAUAAUAUUUAUAAAUACAAAAUUGAAAGAAAAAGAUACUAGAAGAGAGUGUGUUUCCGCGUAGACAGAUAGGGAUCGAGAGAGUAGAGACUGUUUGGGUAUUGAGAAAUGGAUAGAAUGAGUGAAGAAAUGAAAAGCUUUCUUUAGUUUCUUCGUUUUCCUUGAAUCUGAACGAAGCCGCCUCGUAUACCUAAGCUUAUAACAAAAUCCAUGAUCUAUCUAUCAUCAACCCACCUUUCUUUCAUAUAGAAUUGUUCAGGUUUUUUUUUCUCUUUGAUGAUCUUUCUGGAAGGGUUCAUACUUGCAGUUCACACCAUCUCCAUAUAAAUAAUUGCUACUUUUUUGUUUUCUGUUUCUUUGUGAACCAAUAAUUCUUUCAGUGGGUGCAAAAGCAAAAAAAAAGGAAGUUAUUAUUGAUCUUGUAUUCUUGUGUGUGUGUGGUUUUUUCUUUGUUUGCGUGUCGUAGUUGUUUAUGGAAGGACUACAUCACCAUCAGUAUUAUCAUCGUCAACAUCACCAGCAACAACACCAGCAACAGGCUAUGAAUGUUAACGUUGAUGUUGAUAGGCUCCCUCAAUGGAGUAUUCAAGAGACGAAGGAGUUUUUAAUGAUCAGAGCAGAGCUGGACCCAAGUUUCAUGGAAACCAAAAGGAACAAGCAGCUUUGGGAAUUUAUCUCUACCAGGUUGAAAGAAAAGGGUUAUAAUCGUAGCGCUGAACAGUGCAAGUGCAAGUGGAAAAACCUCGUUACUCGAUACAAGGUAACCAAAUAUUUGAUUUAAUUAACCCUUUACUAGGUUAACGAAACCCUAUUAGGCUAUUACUUAUAUAUAUCACUAAUUCAGGGAUGUGAAAUGGUGGAAGAAGAAGCUAAGAGACAACAACAGUUCCCGUUUUAUAAUGACUUGCAGGCCAUAUUCUCGGCAAGGAAACAAACUACUUCAAAGAAGCUAUGUUCAGAUGAGGAAGAAGAUAAGGGUAGGUAUAGGGGGAAGGAGAAAGGCAAAAAGGGUGUAAGCAUUAGUGGAAGUCCUAGCGAAAGUAUAAAUGAUGGUAAUGAUAUAAAGGAGAUUUUAAAGUGUUUCAUGAGACAACAAUUGGAAUUGGAGAUACAAUGGAGGGAAGCAUUGGAGGUGAGGGAAAAUGAAAGGAGAUUGAAAGAAAUGGAGUGGAGAAGGACAAUGGAAGCAUUGGAGAAUGAAAGGGUAAUGAUGGAUAUAAGGUGGAGGGAAAAGGAAGAACAAAGAAGAAUAAGGGAAGAAGCUAGGUCUGAGAGAAUUGAUGCUCUUGUAACAACACUAUUGAACAAGCUUACAAGAGAUGAUCACAUGAAGUGAUUAUUUUGAGAGGUAAUUUGUCCUAUUCCUUUCAUUUUAUCUGUUACUCAUGUACUAAUCACCAUCGGUUCAUGUUAUACUUGUAUCUAAUGGUAACGGAUAAGAAAAUCAUGGAAGGAAGCUUGAUGAUCUCUUUUGCAAACCCGAGUCUUCCAUUGCAAGUAAAAGAGAGCUUUUAGUGUUUUUUUUUUUUAAUAUUGCUAUUUUCCUUUUCAUUGUGUUACCAUUACGAGGUGCACAUUUUAAAAGCACCAUGAAUAAAAAUCUUUUCCAACUAGGUCUAGAAAUCUUUGGUGUAGGUAAAGGAAUUAAACAAUCUAUAUAGCAUCCGAUCCACAAACAAGUGUGUUAUAGAUACUGCUAAGUCAAAACUAAAUAUUCUAUUGUAAUGGAACAAUUCACUGAUUCAUAGUGGACACUAUUGGUAAUGAUCCAUUUUGUUAGUAAUGGUUUUGAUGGUUUGAGGUUUUAUAGAGUAAGAGAAGGACUAGCGGGUGCUGGAGUAGUUUUGGAUAAAUGUUCUCGUGGUUAGCCUAAAAGCCGAGACUAUUGCUACUUAUUUGGGUGAUUUGUACAUUGCUUCAUGUUUAAGAGUUGGUAAUACGGGAGGAGGUAGGUUCGAGUGCGCUGAAAGCGUAUUAUCCUAUUUAUGAGUUGGAGAGAGACUAUAGGUAAUUCUAGGCAUUAAUGUAUCAAAAAAAGUAGAUAUAAUCAGAACUUAUAAUGAGGUUAUUAAAAAAUUUUGAUAAUUAGCAUUAGGGUAAUUAUUUACCACUGCAAAUAAUUAUAUGUAUAUGUAUAUGUAUAUGUUUGUAUUUGUUAUGUCUAUAUAAUAUUGCUAAAUUCAACCAUCAACUUGUUGAAAUAUUAAUGAUAUAUAUAUAAAAUUUAUUGUGUUGAAAGCUAUAUAUUACUUAUAUAAAUAUGCAUGCACUAAACCUAACCAACUUAAUUAUUAAAAAACAAGAAAAAUAACUUUGGAAUAGCCCCUAAUUAAUGGAUGAAUUUGAUAUGAAAAUUAAUGCUUCUAAAAUGAUGAGGAUCUUUUGAACAAUAAUUAACUUUAGGAUUUCACAUUUCAAGGUGUUAAAUAUAUUAUGUGUUAGUGGUAGGAUAAUGAUAACAAAUGGAUCACUACAUUUGGGUUAUCUAUGUUAUAUCUACCAUUAUGCCUAGCUAACUACCACCUUCAAAUAUGAAAAAGGAAGGAUAAUGGGAACUAAACGAGGAACAAGAUUUCCAUGUGGUAUAAAUAUAAAUUUCGUGAUGUAUUCGUUUUUUUUUCCUCUCUUUUCUUGAUGAAUUCUAGUGAUUUAUUGUUUGGCCUUCAUGAUUUGGCUUGUUAGGCUGGUCCGUGGAUAUUGUUUCAUGGGUACAUUUCAAGAUAAGGGCCAUGCAUAUGCAUGCUCAAUUUGAAGUUAUAAAUGUAAUAUAAAUUUGUUGAGGGGAAAGAGAUAAGAGGUGGAGGAUGGUGGAUAUCAUGAUGGCAAAGUGUUGAGAAUAGUAAGAGGAAGAGGAGGGUGUAUAAUGCAUAAAGGUCAAGGAUGAAUAUUUAUAGGAGAGGGUAAUCUCUUCUUGACCUUGAGUCUUGACACAUGGUUUGCAUCUAUUUUAUUUUGGUUAGCUAUUCAAAGAGUAUGCUAACCUUCUAGAUAAAUGACGAUGCAAUUGAUAUAGAUUUGAAAGGAUCCUACAUGUAAUACAUGCUAAGAGUAACCCAACACUUAUCUUUGGCGAAGCAGUUUAACAUGUUAUGCAUGUAUUUGUUUGUGAAGUUUAUAGUUGAUGAGGAGUUACUUGGUGCUGAAGUCACAGUUGGUAAAGUCAUUAUUGUGUAAGGUGUGAGCGAGUGUUAGCCUUCUAGAUAAGUGGUGAUGCGAUCGAUAUAAUCUUGGUAGGACCACACAUGUAUUUGGUGAAGCAAAUUAAAGGAGUUCCACGUGUUGUGCAUGUAAUAGUCCACGACAUUCAUAGUUGGCAAGGUGUUAGAUUAAGUGGUAACAAUAGGUGGUUGUGCGCUACACAUAGUCUAGUCUGACAAGUUGCUCCCACUUUGUUAAAUCUGCUACCUCUUUAGGUAGCCUCAAUCACUUAUGCUCUCCAUGGAGUUAGGUGACAAAACCACAACUGAGAAUAAUAUUGACAUGUUGAGAAGUUUGUUGGGUGACACUUCAAAAACUUCUCCAAAAAGAUUUGGCCUCCCUGCUAGAUUAAGUGGUAGCAUAGAUGCCCAAUAAUAUCAUAUAUAAGAGCAUGGAUUCAAACUAGUGGUGGAUCCUGAGACUAAAUUUUGGGGUUAGUAAAAUUUUCAAAAACUUUAGGAGCUUUUUUCAAAAUUUUGUGAAAUUAAUGAGAUUUUUCAAAAUUUUAAUGGGACCUAAUUAAAAUUUUCUAGAAAUUUCAAGAGAAAAAUUAAAAUAUCCCAAAAUUUUAGGCAACCAAGGACCCCUAAGCCCCAUAAGGAUUCGCCUUUGGUUCAAACCCCAAAUGUUUACAUUUCUUUGGUAGGUGGGUGCGUACCAUGCACGAUGACGAGUCACUCGCGUUUUGUUGAACUUGUCACCUUCUUAGACAACCUCAAGUACUCAAGCUCUUCAUAGAGUUAAUUAGAAGACAAAACCCUUUUAAGGUCAAUACUUAUUUAUGAUAGAACUUUAUCACCCAACUUUAUAAAAACCCUGAAUGUCUACGAUUAUUUGAAAAGAUAACAAAAUCCCUCCAUAAGAUCAAUUGACAAGCUUUUUCUUUUAAGGUCAAUACUUAUAUAUGAUAGAAUUUUAUCACCCAACUUUAUAAAAACCCUGAAUGUCUACGAUUAUUUGUAAACAUCACAAAAUCCCUCCAUAAAAUUAAUUCACAAAGUUUUUCUAAAUAAAACAUAAAAAUAGCCCUUUUUUCUUAUAAUUUAUUUAAGAUAAUUAAAGUUGAUUUUCCUUUACUUUGCUUAAGAUUCAUGUUAUUAUGCUUUGGUUUAGGAUGAUAUUUCAUUUACAUGCAAGCUAGCUAACAUAUAAACCUUCCAAGUUUGGAGUAUUGUUUUUUUUGUGGUAGCUAUAACCCCUUUUUUAUUAUUGCUUUUCUUUUAUAUUUAAGGUUAUUAUAUGAUAAAUCAUAAGAUUUAAAUAUUGUUGCGUGUUUCAUUUUUAUAAUAAUUAUGUUUUUAUUAUAUUUCACAUCACUUUUUUAUAUAAUUAAUAUUUUUAUCGUGGGUUUAAUUGAUGUGAAUUAUGCAUAUCAAAUUUUGAAUAAAAUAAAAAUAUUUGAUUAUUCGUAUUAUAAAAAAAGAUUUUAACUAAUAAAUCACAAAUAUUAAUAAAAACAAUAUUUUAAUUAAUAUAAUAAAAUAUUAAAUUAAUUUAAAAAUUAAACUUAGAAAGUAAUUAAACUAGAUCAACAAAGGAAGCUUCUAGUAUGAACUAAUUUAGCCAAAUUAUCUGCAAUUGAGUUCUCUUCUCUCGGCUCCUGAUUAUGGUAAAAAUAGUAAUGGAAUCAUUUUUUCGAAAGAAGGUGUAACCCACUUUUACAUAUAUUUUAAUUUUACAUGUAGUAUAAUAAUAAGUGUGUAUACAGUAAUUUUAAGUCGAGAUGGAGUAAAAGAAAGUCUAAAUAUGAAAAAGUGUGAACGCAAAAGAUCAUGAUAUUGCAAUAGCAACAGUUAUUCCACUACCUCACACAUUACAUCAUCAUAGACAGAUCAUGUCGUGUUUUGCGGCAUUCAAAAGCCAGACAAUUAAUUCUACUGUGUUCUUUGACUAUCUUCUUCGUUUUAUUUUCAAAUGGUUUCACUUAUGGUUGAUCAACGAAGAUGGAUAUUGGAGAACGUAAUCCAGCAAUAGGUUUUUGUGGUUGAGACCUAACCUAAAACUUAGAUUUAAUUGCACUCAUCAUCCUCUUUUAAAUUAAUUUUAAUUUUAAAAUAUUUUAAUUACAUUAUUAAGUCAGGGUUGAUAGCAGGGGCCGAAUUCAGAAUAAUUUUUUAGGGGUCGAAUGAAAUUUUAAUUUUUUAUAGUCUAUUUUUUUUUAUAAUUUUUAAAGAAUUAAAUCAAAUUUUUAUAAUUUUUAGGGGGGACAAAGUGCAAUUUUAUCUUUACUAAUUUAAAUUUUUAAAAUUUUUAAAAGGGUCUAAAUAAUAAUUUUUCAUUUUAUGAGGGGUCGAGGCCCCUGCCAGCCCCCUUAGCUUCGCAUUUGGUUGACAGAGACCCUGACCUCAGAUUUUUUUAUAAUUUGUAAUUUUUGAAUUAGUAAUGAUAAAAUUAUAUUUUAACAUCUAAAAUGAUAAAAAAAUGAUUUAAUCUUUUAAAAAUUAUAAAAGCAUAGACUAUUAAAAUAGUGAAAUUGUAUUUUUACUAUCGUAAAAAUAUAUAAUUUAAUUUCGGCCCCCAAAAAGUACCAUUUUUAAAAAUAAGAGUAUAAUAAUAUACUUCAAUAUAUUCAAACUCACAUCCUCUUACACUAAUAACAAUACCGAUACAAACUGAAUUAAGAUUUAAUCGAAUAUAUUUAAUAUAUUUUAUACUUAUAUAAAUUCUAACACAUGAAUAAUUCAUGUUAUAUAAAUUUUAUAUUAAAAUUGGCCAACUUAUUCUACGUUUGAUCGUAUCUUUGGAAUGUUUGGGAUGCUAGAAAGUCAAGAGGGUAGCUAAUUAGUUUAUAAUGAUGACGUAUAAUUAAUAAACAUAUGAACCAAGUCUCCACACAAAACUUCAAAAUGUUGGACGACAAUUUGGCAGUAGAAAACAAAAUUUACUUUAUAUUACAUAUAUAUAUAUAUAUAUAUAUAUAUAUAUAUUCUAAGUAGACCCAAUCAUGGGCGCAAGUGGAUACAAAAUAUUAGGUUUGUUUUCUAAGCACAGGAUUGAUUUGAAAAAAAAAGUUUAAUUUUUUUCUCAAGUUCAAUUUAGAUUAAAAAAGUUACACUCAAGCUUGACAUAUAUUAAAUAAUUUUAGAUUAUGUUUUUGUAAAAAUAAAUUAAAAAAUAUAUAAUACAUCAAAUACACUAAAAAUAUUAAAAUAAAUAUUUCUCAACAAAUUGAAAAUACAUUUAAAAAAGUCUUUAUAUUUAAAUGAUACUAAAAUAGUUGCAACUUAGCAAACAAAUGCCUCUAAAAUAAUAGAAAAAUUAACAAAAAAAAUAAGAGUUAUGCAAUAUACAAACAAUAACAAUAAAAUAGUAACAAUAUAAUAACGAAAUUGCAGCAAAGCAAUAGCGAAAUGGUAGCAAAAUAGUUUAUUCGGAUCGGGUCGAGCCCGUGCAAAAAAAAAAAAUCCUACCCGAGGCCUAAUCCAUUUAAAAAUUAGACAAUAUUAUUCAAACUCAUUUUUCGAACCUAUAUUUUUACUCAAUCUUUUUACUGUUCAAACAGAUCUUCUAGAGAAAUCACCAAAACCAUGUCUAAUUCUAAUAAUUCUAAGCUACAAAAUAUUCAUCCUUGCGUACGCAAAGGUGAUUCAGAUAAUUUAUUUAUAUAUACUUUUGAUUUUAUAAUUGUAUUAGUUUCUAAUAUAGUAUGCCUAGUGUGUGCUUUUAUGAAUUUAAUUUUUUAAUUAUUUUUUUUACAAAAAGUGCUUUUAAUUACUGUAAUUAAUGUAAAGUUAUUUUUAUUAUUCAAAUUAUUGAACAUAAUUAAAAUUAUAUUAAUUAAUUUAAUUUUAAUAAUUUUAAUAUUAUAAUAGUAAAAAAUUUCAAAUAGUAUAUAGUUAUAAGAUUUUUACUAUAUUCAAUAUGGUUUUAUAUUAUAUAAUUAAUACAAAGUAGCAUUAUUCAAAAUAAUAAAUAAUAAAAAUAAAUUAUAUAUAAAAAUUAUUUUGAUUAUCCAAUUUUAUUUAUUUUUAUUCAUUUUCUUAAUAGUUUUAAAUUUUAUAUAAAACAAUUAUAAUGUGUUAAAUUUUAUAUUAAAUUUGCGAUUUAAUUCAUGAAUUUUAGUUUGUCGAAUUUUUUUUAAAAUAUAUACUCCAAUCAACUUUUUCAUUCAAAACAAUUCAACUUUUUCAUUCAAAACGAACUAAUUUUACUAAAAUUUCAAGAUUAAGAGUCAAAACAAUAAAAAAAUCAAGAUCAAAAUGAUAAAAUAAAUAAAAGUUAAAAGACUAAAUUUAUGUUAAUGUCAUUUUAAAUUCCAAUUUUCAAUCUUGAUAUACACACUUUGUUUAGUUUCGUAUCAAUAUAUGCACCAAUAGAAUUUUUUAUGGGUUGGGUCACUCGGUUCGGUCUGAAAGUCCACUCGAAAGGUGAAAUGGUUUGGGCAAAAAUAUAAACCCUAAAAAUAGACUUAAGCAAAAAAAAUAAGGUCCGUUUAGAAAAUGAGUUGGGUUGCGGGUAUUAUUUCUUGGGCCCAGCCCGACUUUGCAAAAAAAAAAAACUAUUUUGCUGUUGUUUUCCCACUAGAGGUGCUCAUGGGCCGGGCCGGGCCCAUAAAAAAUUUCGGCCUGGGUCCUAGGCCCGGGCCCAGCCCAGUCCGAAAUAUGGGCCUAAGAUUUUGCCCAGGCCCGGCCCGGGAAAAAAUCAUAAGCCCGGGCCCGACCCGGCCCGACCCAUUUUUAUUUUAAAAAUUUUAAAAAAUUAAAAAAAGUAUUUUAAAAAUAUUUUAAAAAUAUUUUUAAAAUAUUUUAAAAUUAAAAAAAAUUAAAAAAAGUAUUUUUAAAAUAUUUUAAAAUUAAAAAAAGUAUUUUAAAAAUAUUUUAAAAUUUUAAAAAAUUAAAAAAGUAUGUAAAAAAUAUUUUAAAAUUAAAAAAAUAAAUAUAUUUAUUAUGUCAGGCCGGGCCGGACCCGGGCCAAAAAAGUGGUGCCCGAGGCCCGGCCCGUUUUCUAAGCGGGCCUCGUUUUUUUGCCCAGGCCUAUAUUUCGGGCCUAUAUUUUUACCCAAACCCUCCCAUAUUUCGCGGGGCCGUCGGGCCGGGCCGGGCCGCCCGGCCCAUGAGCACCUCUAUUUCCCACUAUUUUCCACCAUUUUGCUGUCAUUUCACUAUUAUAUUGUUAUUGUUUGGAUAUUGUAUAACUCUUGUUUUAUUGUUAAUUUUAUUAUUAUUUUAAAGGCAUUUGCUUAUUUAGUUGCACCUAUGUUAAUGUUAUUUAAGUAUAAUUUUUUUAAUUUAUUUUUAAUUUGUUGGGAAAUAUUUUAUUUUAAUGUUUUUAGUGUUUUUGAUAUAUUAUGUUUUUUUAAACAUUUUAUAUAAAUAAGUAAAAAAAAAUUAAUAUGGCCCUGAAUUUUAACAUUUUUAUCCAAGUCAGACUUGGAUAAAAAUUUAAACCCAUUUUUUUGGAUUGGGCCGAACCUAUCAAUCGAGCCUAAAAUUUUGUUAGCCCAAGUCCAAUGGAACUCUAUGCACCAUGUAGUCUUUCUCAACCCCAAAUAGGGCUGUAAAUGAACCGAGCUUGAACAAACAAACCUCUAUUCAUGUUCGUUUGUUUAUUUUUAAACUUGUUCGUUCCAGUUUGUAUUCAUUAAGAAUUUCAAAUUUUUGUUCAUGUUCAUUUAUUUAAAAUUAUGUGUUCAUGUUCGUUUGUUUAAUAUUUACGAACAUGUUCAUGAACAAUGUUAAUAAAUAAUAAAUAAACAAACAAUAAAUACACACGUUGUUUAGAUAUAAAAUAGUUAAAUAUAAAUAUUAAUAAUUAUAUUAUAAAAAAUACAAACCAAUAUAAUUUUAUUAAUAUAUACUAAUAGAAUUUUUAUAAGAAAAUAACAUUAUUAGAUAAACGAGUCAAUAAACGAACUUUUAAACGAGCUUUGGCACUUAAACUAUUUUCAUAAAAUAAUUAUUAUACUUAAAAAAAAUCAUCACAUAAGUAUAUUUUCUACGUCCCACAUGCAAAAACAUGAUCAUUAAACAUUCUUAUUUCGUUUUUAAUCCAAAUUCCAACAGAUAAACAAUCAAGUCAUAAUAACAUAUAUAAAUGAACAACUUUGCCUUCCCUUUUUGAUAUUAUUCUAAAUAAAACAAAACAAAAGCUCUCAAUUUCUAAAUUCCAACUCCAAUCUCAAGAAUAUAUAUAUAUAUAUAUAUAUUUAAACACAUACACUCUGUUUUGUUUUUGCAUCGGCGUAUCUCUACCAACUUGUCUGUUCCAAAGGUGAUUGUACAGUCCGUCUUUCACUCUUUUCAAGUUCUUUGAACGUGAAUCAUGUAAGUAAGCCUUGCUGUUUUCUUUCUUCUGCAUCCAUUUUCUUGUUUCAAAAGCUUUGAUUCUUGAUCUUUACUUCUUGUACAAGAAAACCCAACUUUUAUUACACCAUUGUUCAUAUAUAUAUAUGUAUGGUGUUUUCUUGGGUGAUUUUUUUGAAGUUCUUUUUGUCUCUUCUUGGUUUAAUAGUUACUGCAUGAUCUUCAAUUUUUAAAAAGAAUAGCAUUUGGAAUCCUAGUUUAGCUGAUAUUGAUCUUGUUUCCUAUUAUAUGUGUUUUCUGUGUUAAUGAUAUGAAAUCCUUUUACAUUGAAAUGUUGCAGACAAGACUGUAUGGAGAUGGUAAGUGAUUCUUAUUCAGAUUUGGUUCAAGCAAUUAUCUUGGACAACGUGACAUAUUUCGGUCGCCUCCUCUGUAGUUCAACAUAUGAUAUCGAUGCCGAAAUUCCUUUCCGGUGUUUCCCAUUAACUGGGUCUAAGGACGAGCUUAAGGUUUUGAUGAGGACACCAUUGAUGAUUGCUGCAAUGACUAAUAGUCCAAAAGUGGUGGAGUAUAUAGUUGGAAAUUUUAAGGCCAAUGUUGUUAGAGUUUCCACUUCAGAUGGAGCUACUGCAAUUGAGUGUGCUAUUAAUUCUGAUUGUUCUACAAUUGUUGAGAUGCUGAAAGAUGCUCGGAUCGGAAAGGGCCGACCUUCAACAGCGUCAUAUGGUCAAUCUAGUUCUGGUCAACGACGACGUUCCGUGUCAACUCAAAGCUUACAGGGCAGACAAGAGAUGGAUGUUUGGACACCGUUUUGUGCAAGAGGUGCUAUAGGUAGGCCAUUGAGUUCCAAUAAUCAAGUCAAUUGGAACAUGAACCAUUGGAUGCAGGGAAGGCAAGGGCCACCAAUUUCCAACAAUCAAGUAUAUAGGCAAGAGCCGAAUAUUCGAAUACCCUUUUAUGGAAGUUGUGCUGUAGGUGUACAGCCAUUGAGUUCCAUUAAUCAAGUUUAUGAAAACAUGAGCCGAAGCAUGCAGGGAUGGCAAGAACCGAAUAUACAGAGACCCUUUUAUGCAAGACAUGCUGUAGGUGAAUGGCCAUUGAGUUCCACUAAUCAAGUUUAUCAAAACAUGAACAGUAGCAUGCAGGGAAGGCAAGAGCUGAAUAUGACAACAUCCUUUGAUGCAAGAGAUGCUGCAGGUGAAAUGCCAUCGAGCUCCGACGAUCAAGUCCAUCAAAACAUGAACCGUAGCAUGCAAGAAAGGCAAGAGCUGAAUAUUCCAGCACCUGAUGAUGUAAGAGAUGCUGCAGGUGAAAUGGCAUCGAGUUCCAUCGAUCAAAACACGAGCCGUAGCAUGCAAGAAAGGCAAGAGCUGAAUAUUCCAACACCAGAUGAUGUAAGAGAUACUGCAGGUGAAAUGGCAUCGAAUUCCAUCGAUCAAAACACGAACCGUAGCAUGCAAGAAAGGCAAGAGCUGAACAUUCCAACACCUGAGGAUGUAAGAGAUGCUGCAGGUGAAAUGGCAUCGAGUUCCAUCGAUCAAAACACGAACCGUAGCAUGCCUGGAACGCAAGAGCCAAAUAUGCCAACACCCUCUGAUGCAAGAGAUCUUGCAGGUGAAAUGCCAUUGAAUUCCAAAGACCAAGUCAAUCAAGACAUGGACUAUGGCAUGCAAGGAAGGCAAGAGCCUGAAGNNNNNNNNNNNNNNNNNNNNNNNNNNNNNNNNNNNNNNNNNNNNNNNNNNNNNNNNNNNNNNNNNNNNNNNNNNNNNNNNNNNNNNNNNNNNNNNNNNNNNNNNNNNNNNNNNNNNNNNNNNNNNNNNNNNNNNNNNNNNNNNNNNNNNNNNNNNNNNNNNNNNNNNNNNNNNNNNNNNNNNNNNNNNNNNNNNNNNNNNNNNNNNNNNNNNNNNNNNNNNNNNNNNNNNNNNNNNNNNNNNNNNNNNNNNNNNNNNNNNNNNNNNNNNNNNNNNNNNNNNNNNNNNNNNNNNNNNNNNNNNNNNNNNNNNNNNNNNNNNNNNNNNNNNNNNNNNNNNNNNNNNNNNNNNNNNNNNNNNNNNNNNNNNNNNNNNNNNNNNNNNNNNNNNNNNNNNNNNNNNNNNNNNNNNNNNNNNNNNNNNNNNNNNNNNNNNNNNNNNNNNNNNNNNNNNNNNNNNNNNNNNNNNNNNNNNNNNNNNNNNNNNNNNNNNNNNNNNNNNUAUUUGCAGAAAAAGAAAAAGAAAACCCUGGAAUUAAUGUUAUAAGAUGAUGAAUUGUCUUCAGAGUUGGCCUGAACCGGUGGUUCGAGUUCAAUCUUUGUCUGAAAGUGGCAUAAGAGCUAUUCCAGACCGGUAUAUCAAGCCGCCAAGUGACAGACCCGGUUUUGAGAACCAAGAACACGUUGAUAUUCCCGUUGUUGAUCUUAAAAACCUGUUCAGCCAUGACCGUACCCUGCAUGAAGAAACCCUCAAACUCAUCUCCAGCGCGUGUAAAGAAUGGGGUUUCUUCCAAGCGGUGAACCAUGGCAUUAGCCAUGAGCUCAUGAAGCGUACGCGCGAGGUGUGGCGUGAGUUCUUUAACUCACCGCUUGAAGUUAAACAAGAAUACGCCAACGCGCCGACAACCUACGAAGGGUACGGUAGUCGGCUGGGUGUUCAGAAAGGUGCUAUCCUUGAUUGGAGUGAUUACUUUUUUCUUCAUUAUUUGCCUGUUCAUUUGAGGAAUCCAAGCAAGUGGCCUUCACUGCCCUCAUCUUGCAGGUGAGUUACAACUCCUUUUUAACUCGAAUACCAUUAAUCAUAUUAAAUCUGGAUUAAAUUUUUAUUGACACUUUAUUCCCAGCAGCCCACCGUAGACCAAAACCUCAACAUGGGAUUUUACUAUAAGGUUACUAUAUACAAUAUUAUGUACGUUAGGAUAAAUGGCAAAGUAAUCCAGUUUUGGUCAGAAUAUAUAUAUGCAGACCACCAUAAUUGCAUGGCUGCGUCCUAAAUAUUUAGAGAUGUUUAUUUUUGACCCUUUUAUUAAGGUUUAUGUGAUUGUUGGCCAUUUUCAAAGUUUAGAAAGAACAAUUCACCCUAAACAUUAACUUUGUUGUUCGGCAUAGUAGACUAUAUUUUGAUGAAAAGUGAAAAAAGGUAUAUGUAUUAUGUAAUUUUAUAAUAUUAUAUGGAACCUGCAAUAGCAAUAUUGAACUAGCCCGUUAAAAUUUCGGAUGUAGGGAUUUGAUUUCGGAAUAUGGUGCUGAAGUUGUAAAACUAUGUGGAAGGCUUCUCAAGGCCAUGUCUAUUAGUCUUGGAUUAAAAGAAGAUCAUCUACAAAAUGCAUUUGGUGGAGAAGAUAUUGGUGCUUGUUUAAGGGUCAAUUUUUAUCCAAAGUGUCCUCAACCUGACCUUACACUAGGCCUUUCGUCCCACUCGGAUCCCGGUGGCAUGACUUUGCUCCUCCCCGACCACGACAUUGCUGGUCUCCAAGUUCGUAAAAAUGGCAAUUGGAUCACUGUGAAACCCGUCCCCAAUGCUUUCAUCGUUAACGUUGGAGACCAGAUUCAGGUUUCAUUUUCUUCUGUAAAGUUUUAUAAUUUAAUCCCUAUAUUUACCAUCGAGCAUGGGGUUUGAAUCUUGUUUAUGUUUUAGGUGAUGAGUAAUGCGAUUUACAAGAGUGUUGAACAUCGUGUGAUUGUGAACUCAGUGAAAGAUCGAGUUUCCCUAGCUUUCUUCUGCAACCCCAAGAGUGAUCUACUCAUUGAACCAGCCAAGGAGCUUGUAAGUGAGGACCGGCCAGCGCUAUACAGUCCCAUGACGUUCGAUGAGUAUAGGCUUUAUAUUAGGACGUACGGUCCACGUGGCAAAACACAAGUUGAAUUUUCGGGAUCUAAUAGAUAGCUAGUAAUAUAUAUAUAUGUGUGUGUGUGUAUGAUCAUAUUAUAUAACUGUGUGUUACUAUUUGAUGUUUUACGUAAGUGUUUCACGAAUGGUUUGGUGUUAUAUUACCAAAGUUCUCAUUUCUAAUGCUCUUUUAGUUUAAGACAUUAAAUUAAAGUUGUCUCAACAUUUUAAGGAAAUAUAUUAAGCUAUUAAAGGAUAAAUAAGAAACAAAAUGAUUUGAGGUUGAUUUAUUUUGGAUUAAAUUAAUUUUGGUUCGUUGAAUUUCAAAUUAUUUUGAUCUAGUUCAAUUGUGCAAUUUAUUUGUUUUUGUAUUUUCAGAACUAGUCCGGAAACUGGGUUUAUUAUUUCAAUCGAGAUAGUUUUAUCCCGUUGGAUUGUCAUUCUACAAGUAUUUUAAUUUGAAGAGAUUUAUUCCUGUUCCUAUGAAUACGAAUCCACUUUUCUUUUUCUCCCGUAGAUCAACAUCUUCUAGAGUCUUUCUUGAACAAAUUAUGUCAUUUCAAGUUAAAAUCAAGACAAUUAUUCGAUAAGUUGCGUGUAGAAUUUUUUUUAUCCCCACAAAUAAAUUAAAGGCGUAACAAGUAUCGUGUUUAUUUAUAUAUUUAAUUUUCUUUUUAGUUGGACGAAAUUGAUUGUUUGAUUUUAUUUAUUUUGGCGGUGGUUAUUAUCCCACAAAUUGAUGGGUGUUGUUGAGUGUUGACAAUGAAUGGGAAUGAGUUUCACGUUUUCCCUCAUGGGUUAUUAAAAUUCUUUAUUUAUAUUUAAUGUUUCCGUCACGUGGACUUAUUAUAAAAAAUACAAAACUAGCUUUAGUUGCUUAAUUUACUGAAAGUUGAAAAUUUGUGUAAGUUUGAAUACUUUACUUUACUUACAAUAAUGAUUUGACACACAAUGUUAGUGACCCACUAUCAUGAGUCGACAAUACCUUACUUUCUUUCACUACCGAUAUCUGAUAUUAUUAUCAAUAUAAAAAAGAUACGGGCUCAAGUCUGCUGGAGCGUAUUGAAAAGGAGUUAUAGGUAGUUCUAGAUAAGGGAGAAGCGAGAAAAUUUUUUUAAGGGAAUCGAAAAUAAAUUUUAAUUUUUAAAAGAUUAAAUCAAAUUUUUAUUAUUUUUAAGAGGGUUAAAUGUAAUUUUAUCUUUACUUAUUUAAAGUUUUUAAAAUUUUAAAAUGUCCAAAUAGACCGUCAACCUCUCUAAAUACACUAUCUGUUCUGUAAAAAAAAUUAGAUAUAUAAAUUAUAACAUAAAAAAUUAAGUCAAUUAUGUACCAAAAAAUAGGACCAAAUUGCCCCUAGAUUUUAGCCUCAGCUUUCUUCGUAGAUAGGGACAUGAAAUUUAAGUGGGCCACUAAUUAUAAAUAUAAUAAUAUAUGCCUUUAGUGUAGGACACAAGGAAAGUCGUAAUCGUUCAUCCUAACAAACUCCAUUGGAUGAGCCAAAUAAUCAUAAUAAUAAGGGUACUAAUGUAAUUAAAUUAUUAAAUUUACGUUUUAAUCAUUUAAUUUUAAAUAUUAUAAAACAAUUAUUAAAUUAUUUAAAAUUUUCAAAUAACCAUAAUAAUAAGGGUGCUAAAUCAUUGGUUUAUUAAAUUGUUUUUUUAAAAAAAAACUUAAUUAGUGAGCUUCAAGCGACAAUUCAAUGACUAGGAUAAUAGGUCAAUACCCAUCGAUGAGUAGUAGAACACACCUUAGAUCCAAACUAAUUUGAUGAAAAGUGUUAGAGAUAAAAAAAAAAAAGAAAGUUAUGGGAUUUUAGUUCGCAGAUUUGUGACAUUCAAAGCUAUUUCGUGAAUGAAAAAAACUGAACUAUAAAAGUGAAAGUCAUGGAAUGGCGAUUCCAAUAGCUCGAUGGCUUAAAUGGAACCUUUCAAAUAGUUCAAUGACCAUUUUGUAACUUUUUAAAAUUGAGUUACUAAAAUAUAAAUUUACUAAUAGUUUAAUGAUCAUAGAUAUAAUUUUCCUAAUAAUAACAUCAACAUUCGUAUGGUAAGAAACUUAGUACAAUUUUAAGUAAAAUUUUGGGCUCGAAAAGUCUCAAAUAAAAAAAUAUGUUGAAAUUUUCAAAACUUUGAGAUCUAUAAUUCGAAUUUCGCCUUAUGUAAAUCAUACGUGGAAUCUAAAAUUUAUUAUGAUUAAAUUCUACUAUGUAUAGCCUCCCUCUAUAUUUAUUCCGGUAUAAAUUGAGAUAUACUUCAAUUUCCAAUUUGAUUGUAAUUUGUAAUGAUUUAUUAAUAAUUAAAGUUAAUUGCACCAAACAUUUUCAACUAUAACCAUCAUUUUAAAUUGAUCCCUGAGCUUCAAAAAGAUCUAAUUACAUCCUAAACUAUCAAAGUUAUAUCAAUUAAGUCCUUCCAUUAUUAAAAUAUCUAAUUUAAUGGUUAGAUGAUCCAUAAAAUCUCAUAUGACAUUAUUUAAAAUGAAAAUUUUAAAUGAGAGAAAGUGAACGCUAAAACAUUUGUAAAAAUUUCAAAAACAAGAUUUUUACUGUAUCAAUUUUCUUCAAAAAUUCACUUUAUAUUAUGCUAUGUAAAAUUUAUGUGUCAUUUAAUGAUUAUAGUAACGGAAGAUAUAACCUCGACGUAAUUAAAACGUUUAAAAGUUCAAAGAAAAAUUUAAAAUGAGUAUCAUAAAUUAGAAUAUAAUUAUAUUUUUUAAAAAAUAAAAUAAAAAGUAGGUAUCCUAAAGGCAAGUUGCUUUUCCUCAACACAAAUUGCCUCGUGAUUGAAUUCUCUAUCAGAUCUGCAGCAGAGCAACUAUUUUUUUAAUUUCAAAUCCUUUAUGUUUAUUUGACUGGUUGUCAUAUCACUAUCGUACCACGUUUUUUUUAAGCUUUCUUAAUGCUCUCUCCCCUCCUCUUUCUACAAAUUUUGCUAUUAGUCCCUGUAUUGUAAGUUACCAAUUUAGUCCUCCUACUCUAACUUUAUCAUUCUCAUUCUUAGUUUUUACCCUCCAAAUUUGAAUCUUGACUCAAGGCAUUUAAAUCCUUUAAAAUAAUUUCCAAAAUCUUAUACGAAAUCCACAUUACAAACUCAAAUAUCAAGUUGAACAUAAAAAUAUAUAAAAUAUUAAACCCAGGCUUAAAAAAAUACGUGAAGUAAAGACACAACUUGAAUAUGACGUUAAAAUAAAAAAAAUAUUAAUUUUUAACCAUAGAUACCAAAUUCGGUCGAUUUUACCAAAAUUUACCGGAUUAAAUCAAUUUUGAAAAAAUAGGUCCAGCUAGACACACUUUCAUCUUUGACAUGAUAAAAUAGUUGAAUGUUAUCCUUGAAUCACUAUUUCGAUUCCUCUCCUACUUCAUCUUUCAUCAAGUUAUGUACUAGACGGCAAUGUUAUCCUACUCAAUUUUUUUAACAUAUUAGUUCUUUGAUCAGACGGUUAGAUAGUUACAAUUACACCCGAAACUCAAGAAUAAAAACACUAACAUGUAACCAUUCGGCCAAAGCUAAAAGCGCGUUCAGUUGGAAGCGAUUUCCUACCAUAUCCACAGAAAACGCAUCCAGCUGGACGCGUUUUCUCAAAAUCGACCAAAUCUGGUAAAUUUGCAAAAACCAGCCUAAUCCAGUAUUUAUGGUUAAAAAUCAGCAUUUUUGGGUAAUUCACCCAAAAUAAAUAAACCUGAUACUCCAUUUUUUAACCCACCAUAUCCAAGUUACCCACGCAAUAGAAAAUAAAUAUUUAAAAUUUGAUCAACAUGUUCUAACUAUAUUCCACUAAAUAACAUUCAAUAACAAAAUUUACAGCUAAAAAAACCUUAGAUUGAUACAAUACAAAUGCUAUUAGAAGAAUGAUCAAAUUAACCCAAAAUGUUAUUACCAUCAUUAGUUACUUGAUGAUGAUGAUGAUGACGAUGGGUUAGUCAAACAAAAUAUAGUUUUGCUAAGUGAGUAUUAAACAAAAUAAUGACCUAACUUUAAGAACCUGGCUAGUUUCUGCAACAUUAAGAACCCAGCAGAGAAAAUGAAAAAUAUAUAGAAAGUAAUUCAUGAACUCCCCUAGGUAAUUGUUAUUCAGCCCAUCCCAGUUCAGCAACACUUGAAUCUCAUUUCCAAGAAAAAAAAUAAAACAUAUAAAACAGAAACAUAAAAGAAAAGGAAAAAUGUUAACUUACACAAGUUGGCUGAUUGUAGCAAUUAGCAAACAAGGGGUACCACCGAUUCUUAGGGAGAUGCGAUUAACCGCUUAAUACCGGUUUUCUGCUCUGCUGUAAGCUUGGUAGGGAACUUGAUGUUGAAUUUGAUUCUCAAAUUUCCUUUCUUUGAAGGAUCUUUAGGAAUAGGCAUUCCUUCCCCUUUUACAACUUCUUCAUAGGUUGGACUGAUGAUGUUGUUGAUAGGGACAGUCAGAUUCCGUCCGUCGAGUGUUAUCAGCUGUGCUGUAUAACCAGUUAGAGCUUCCACCAGAGAUAUCUUCUGAGUUACGAUAAGAUCAUUGCCGUCUCUCUUGAACACACUGUGAGGCUUCUCAUCAAUGAUGAAGACAAGGUCGGAGGGAAUAACCCCUCGUUGCUCAUUUCCCUUCUCUGGAAAAGUUAUUUUUGUGCCUUUUUUCCACCCCGGCUUAAUAUCAAUGGUAAGAAUUUCUUCCACUGUAGUAGGUCUCCUGUACCGGGAAAAACAAAAAUCAAAAUGUUAAGGAUGAUGUAAACUAUUAAACAUUUCCUAAACCUACAAAUAUGGAGUUUCUUUGCGGGGCCACACUGCACAUCAGUGUUGUCGAGGCAUGCGCCUAGGCAUGCCUGUGCCUUGCGCCUUAUACAGAAAAAACACCUUAGCCCCUUCCAGGUGAGGCCCAUUUGAUCAGGCACACACCUUGUGUGCCUGGGCAUGCUUUAAUUUCUUUUGCUUUUCACUGUUUUCAUUUGAUACACCUUGUCUAGUACUAGAAAGCUCUAUACUUCUCAAUAUUUGAGAAUUCAACAACAAACAAUGACCAUAAGGAAAUCAUGAAUAUGGACCAAUAAAAAAAUUUGCAUGUUUUGUAGACAAACUAGAUCACACUUUAGAGUUUACUGUUAUAUGUUAAGCUUUAUAUAUUAUAAACAAGAACAGACUUGCAAAACUCACACAUAUACAUAUUGCGAUUAACUCAGGCCAUCUUUUUUGCGCCUGAGGCAAUAUAAGGGUGCUAGUGCCUGGAAGGCACCUUCCGCCCUUGACAACACUGCUGCACAAUAUGAUUGAUCAUAAUUUGACUACUUAAUAUAAACAGUGCCACUUUAGAAAGUGAACGGUUAAGCUCAAUUUUUUUUUGCAUAAACAAAUAAAAUGAACACAAACAAUAUAACUUAAAAAAUAGAAUCUUCAGUAAACAUCAAGAAAUCUUCAAAGUUGAUCACAAUCAUAUACAAAGAAGCUUCAUUAUCAAUCUAAUCCUACUGACAGAGAAGAAAGGGUAAAACUAAAACCCUUCAUCUAGGAGGGAGCAUCAAAAUAGCAGGAAAUGAUCGUAACAUCAAAACAGAAAAUAAAAUAGCAAAGUUCCUAUAUCACUAAUGUCAUUCAAAUAACUGCUCGUAAGGAGAGAGAGGAUUGAAAUGUAAACCAAAACCAUUACGAAAAGGAGAAAGAGGAUUGAAAAACAAAAUCAUUUUGCUAAAUAAGGAAGACAAUGGAAUACAAAGAAAGAGUAUACCUUGUGGUGAUGAAAUCUAAAUCAUCUUGAACAUUAAUACCUCAAAUCAGAAAGGAAGGAAUUCAUAUAGUCAAUGUAAACUUAAGACCAUAAAAUCUCAAUAAUCACAGUAUUUUCAGUUCAAAACUGUCAUGCAAAUAUGUCAUCACUUACGAAACAACCAAUCAUUUUAAACCAUAAGCAAUUUAGAACCCUAUUAUCCAAUAAAAUAGCAUCAUCUUCAGCAAAAAGACAAACUUAGAAUAUAAUCAUAUGCUGAAACUGUUAAUCAUUCCUUCUCUUAUGCCUAAAAACCAUUAAGA
rnacentral:lncRNA from 1 species